UGCACUCACUCCUGUAAGUUGCUCUGGAUAAGAGCGUCUGCUAAAUGACUCAUA
rfam:Salmo salar isolate Sally breed double haploid chromosome ssa26, whole genome shotgun sequence.